UACGUAGGGGGCAAGCGUUGUCCGGAUUUACUGGGCGUAAAGAGCGUGUAGGCGGCCAUACAGGUCCGUUGUGAAAACUGGAGGCUCAACUUCCAGACGUCGACGGAAACCGUGUGGCUAGAGUCCGGAAGAGGAGAGCGGAAUUCCUGGUGUAGCGGUGAAAUGCGCAGAUAUCAGGAAGAACACCCGUGGCGAAGGCGGCUCUCUGGGACGGUACUGACGCUGAGACGCGAAAGCGUGGGGAGCGAACAGG
rnacentral:rRNA from 1 species